rnacentral:rRNA from 1 species
UACGGAGGGUGCGAGCGUUGUCCGGAAUCAUUGGGCGUAAAGGGCGCGUAGGUGGCCCGGUCAGUCAGUGGUGAAAGCGCGGGGCUCAACUCCGCGUCGGCCAUUGAUACUGCUGGGCUUGAGCACUGUAGAGGCAGGCGGAAUUCCGGGUGUAGCGGUGGAAUGCGUAGAUAUCGGAAGGAACAUCAGUGGCGAAAGCGGCUUCCUGGACCAGCACCGACGUUCAGGCACGAAAGCGUGGGGAGCAAACAGG